GCCGAGGUGGUGGAACUGGUAGACACGCUACUUUGAGGGGGUAGUGGGUGAAAACCUGUGCGGGUUCGAGUCCCGCCCUCGGCA
rnacentral:tRNA from 1 species